GGAGAUUUCCCGUGACGGAUCAGGAAGCGGCUUGUGCCACCUUCGCUGAGGUCAGACGACCAGUCAGAGGCAGGGAUGGCGCGAUGAGCAGGUGAAGCGGCCAAUCCGAGAGGAGGGAGGGCGCGAACUAAGAUGGAUAUUGAAGACCCUGAAAUGUCUUAUCGAAGGGGGAACAAAAGAAUUCAGAUGAUUGACAAAGUUACAGUUAUAAGGUGAACAUCUCUGAAGUGAAAGCUGCACCCCUCAGAAGUAUCACAGUAUUGUAUCUGUCUCGGACGUGAGCUCUGUCACUCCAGGACUUCACUGAUUUUGAAAAAG
rnacentral:lncRNA from 1 species